AGAGCACAGCUCAAAUGCCUUGGCCAUUUCCUCCCAAAGUGCUAUAGCUUUGUUCCAGCAGCAGCUACAGGAAGGUUCAGCACACCCACAGCUCCCAGAGCUGGUGGAGAAGAUCAUAGGAACUAUCCCAUGUCCUUGGGUGAGCAGCAGAUGACUGGGAGAGGAGUACCAAAACCAUCACAGUGUGCUCCAUUGUGGGUUUGGUGUCUGCUGAGACGUGGUAAGCUGUAUGGACAAAUUGUGCUAACCUGUUUUCUUUUAACUAUCCUAAUCUCUUUUUUAUCCCCUUUAUACAUCUGGUUUCCAUAAGGUAACAGCUGCUGUGCAUUUCAUCAUUUAAUUAAGCACAGUGUGGGAAAAGGUUUUUCUGUUCAUGGCAUUAAAAAUGAAUUGUUCUGGGUGAUGUGUAUGUUUGGGAAUAUUUCUGUAUAACCACUAAUGAAUUAUUAAGACUGAUAUUAGUGUCAAUGUGAUUUAAAAGCUAAAACAUUGUAUCAGCAGUUUAUGUACUGCAGGCACUAACAAAUAUUUUAAAGGGUUCUACAGUCAAAAACUAUGAGGAAAGGAAGCAGCUGUGGCUAUGUUGCUGGAGGUCUAGCCUCUUUACUUGUGGGAAGCCCAUGUUAACUGGCACAACUGACAUCCUGACAUUGCCGAAAAGGGGUCUUGGCAAUGCCAUCCCCUCAUCUCCAAAUGGCAAGCACACAGAUGUGUCACACAUCAUCUGCAAAUUGAAGGCAAGCCUGGAAGAGAUUUGAUGUUUGUAGAAGGAUUUUCUACAGCAUUUGAGGAAAGGAACCAGGAAGUGUGCACACCAGCAUGAUGUAAGAAACCUCACAAAAAGUGUCCAGUCUCUGAGAAAACACAGACUGGGGUGGCCAGUCAUAGGCUGAGAUGCAUUAGAAAGUCACUGAAGAUGUUAGCAGGGCUAAGCAGAUCUUGAAACCUCCUGCUAUACCAUGUAGGACUUUCUGAGAAUACCUGGUUCCUUGGACAUGGAGGAAAACAUAUUCCAAAGCAUAAGUUUAAGUCCACUGAAAAGUGCAAAACCAAGGGAAGACAUUUCAAUCUUUAAAAGAACAGACAAAACCAACACACCUUAUCAUAUAUGCCAGGAACACACACACCCAUGAAAAAGAAUGAGUUAAUGUUAGUGGCCAAGACAAAUCCCUGGGCUGAGAGUAGAAAUGGUGUUCCUCCCAGUUAGUUUCCAUUUACUACAGAAAAAUAUAUUCUCAUUUUAAACCAAUACUGUCAGUCCUCUGUUACAAUCAGGCAGUAUAGCCACACUGAUAGAGGGGUCUAGAGCUAAACAGACGGUAGGAUGCAGCUAAUUUUGUGAGACAUGACCCAGCUUAUUUAUUUUCAUUAAAUAUUUUGCCAUUCAUAUUUAGCCUUUGGGGCUUUAUCUUGCCCAUACAAUGCUUUACAUGCCCCAUUUUUGAUCAGGAGACACAAUUUUAGCCAGUUUGCCAUGAAGUGCAAUUUUGAAUAGGUAUCUGUUCAGCUCUGUUAUGCUCAAUCCACUGCGGAGCUGGGAAGUGCUAGUAAAUAAGACGACUCUUGAAGAAGACUGCACAGCCAUUGCCUAACCUAUAUGUAGAAGUCUCAGGACAGCAACAACAAAACCUUGCUUCCCAUACAUAUUUUUUGAAUAGAAAACUGAGAACUAGAGUCCUGUUUCAGAGUCCCUAUGUGGAGGCAUCAGUAUAUAUCAUCCUUCUAUGUGUCCUGCUUUUGUUGCUUCAGUAGAAAUAAUGCAUUAAUUAUUUGCAUGUCAUUUCUGUUGUAAAUUUUCUGGCUAAUCAAGGAUUGGCUGUUUCCCCUGUUUUUAUCCAGACCAAGACUAUUCUCAGUACUUUUGCACCUUAAGAUUUUUCUCUAUGGGAAUUGGGUUCAUGCACCUGCAAAGGAGAGCAGCACAGUAAAGUGUACAAACUGUGAGUUAAUUUUACCAGACUUAUGGGCUCUUUCCUCUACUGACAUUUAAAUAAAAAUGUUUUAUAAUCCUUACUAGAUUUCCGGUUUUAUUUGCUCACAAUCAAAGCUUUAUCUCUUUUCUCUUUUUCAGGCUUGGAAUUCCAUCCCCUUGCUUGUUUGUCUUUCAGGUUCUUCUGCAGUCUCAAGGCACAGAGGGACUGAGGGAAGACCCUUGGGCUGGCACUUAGCAGUCAUCCAGCAAGGAGUGUGGAGCUGAGUAAUGGCAGGAGACAGAGGCAGAGAGACAAGAAGCCACAAAUCAGGUAUUCAAGUGGUGCUUCUAGGAUGCCAGAUGUGCUUCCUCCUAGGAGGAUAGAUCCAGGAAUGCAUGGGUUUACUCCAAGGAGACCAAGACAUAUGCAGCUGCAAAAGGAUUUCAAGAUCCACUCCUGUGCACUAGAAAGGAAAUUCACCAGUCCUGGUGUUCACAUCCUCCCAGCUGCCCAGAGGCAGUGACAAGAGCAUCUGAAGCAGCAUCCACCGCUGUGUAGAGGGAGAGAUGAGUGGUCCUGAUUGCUGGGUGAAAGGGACAGGCAUGCAGCUACACCAUGGUCCAGCAGACACAGCCCAGGAGUCCACAGUAAGUGAUUCUGCAGGGGCUCUAGAAACACAAGCAGCUGCUGAGGGUCCUCCAGAGGAUGAAGAAAAAUCCUGAGAUGCUGAAGGAAGCUUUGAUGCAGAGGAUCUGCUGAUGGAUGCAUUAAUACAAGUGGAAAUAAGGCCUGUUAAAUCUUGCCUGAGCAGUUUUGGUAAGUGGGUGCUCUUCCCCUUGGAACGCAUGCAGAAGCAUCCUCUCUGUGGGGAAGGGUGAUCACAAAGAAAGCCACUGUUUCUGGCACUGCUCACCAAGGUUUAUUAGUGUGUAUCCUUUGAGGGCUGUGAACAUCUGCAGAGGACUGGAACUGCACAGCUGAGCACAUGGUCUCAAACCUGAUGUUUCCACGGGCUAAACAGGACAAGCGGUGAGCAGAUACCAAAGUUUUGAGUGCCACUGUCACAUGCUUACCUGCUUUUCCAAAAGACCAUGUCUUGCAAAGUCAGGAUGGAAAAUGCAGGAGUAUUUUGGCUUCUGGAAGCAUUUUUCUCCCUUGAGAGCUUUUCACCUUAAGCUACUCAUUCAGUAACUGGAGGACUGGCAGAGGCUGCCCAGAGUACUCUGUUCUGGAUGGCCCUGCUGGGGCUGGGGUUGUGCCAGACGUGCCAGGGCACUGCUACCCUCAGCUGUUCUGUGAUGUUGUAAUGGCUAAAUCAGUUGUAAGCAACUGCUAACAUUUAACCAUUCAUGUGAAAUGAGUGUGGGUCUCCAUCCCACUACCACUGCCAGUUUACCACCUCCCAGAUGGUACCAUCAGUGCUGCUUACAGUUGGCCAACAGCUGUUGCUGAGGUUGCCUUUCUGAUCUUGGAAGAGGUCUAGGCUGCAUGAAUUUUGCACUGUCCUCCAAUUUUACAUACUCCCAAGUGCCCUGUUUUGGCUGGAAAACCUGAUGGUCUAGCCCUUCUGAUGGCAACCCUGUGUGUUACAAGGGGAGGGAGAAAAGGGUUUGCAACCACAUGAUGAGAGCUGAGGGAAUGAUGAGUGGAAAAUCAGUUUAAUUGUCAUUAUUCUUUUUUAUUUGUCUUCUUGGAAAUAAGACAAAUGCUGUCCUUUCCCCUUUUUUCUUUUGGCUAAUAUUAGGCAUAUAAUACAGGCUGAAUACAUAAUUUUAUAAAGACUCAACACUGCUUGAUUAGUGUUAUUUGGAUCACAUUUUGAGGUUAUUAUCACAAAAUGGACUGGUUUUUCUGUGUAUUAAUUUUAAUGAUGAUGUUUUCUCUUGUGUAACUUCAACUAAAGAGAAAGGCAUCCUAAUGUUACCAUCUACGGAGAAAAGAAUCGUACAAAAGUUGGCUAAUGGAACAUUUCACUCCACCUAUUAACUCAAAAAAUAGAAGUCACAUGUUUCCAUUUACAAGUAUUUUAGUGAAAAGGCAUUAAGUGAAACAUUUUGUCAUCAAACAAUGUAGCUGAGCAUGUACCUUCUCAUGGCGUGGUGGGCCUCAGAUGUUUAUCAUUUCAUAGAAUCAUAGAAUAAUUUCAGUUGGAAGGAACCCUCAAAGGUCAUCUAGCUCAACUCCCCUGCAAAGAACAGGGAUACCUACAACUAGAUCAGAUUUGCUCAGAGUCCUGUCCAGCCUGACCUUGAAUGUCUUCAGGGACCGGGCAUCCACCACCUUUCUGGGCAAUCUGCCCUAGUGCCUCACCACUAGUAUUGUAAAAAUCUUCUUCCUUAUAUCCAAUCUAAAUCUCCCUUCUUUUAGUUUGAAACCAUUUCUCCUUGUCCUGUCACAGCAGUCCCUGUUUAAAGAGUCUGUCCCCUUCCUUAUAGCCCCUUUUUGAUACAGAAAAGCCACUCUCAGAUCUCUUGGAUUCAGAUCUCUUUUCAUCCCUUGGGCCAUUUUUGUGGCCCACCUCUGGACAUGCUCCAACAGGUCCAUCUCUCUCAUGAGGAUUUCUGUACUGAGGACUGCACAUCUAGAUGCAGUACUCCAGGUGAGGCUUCACCAGCUUCAGUAGAGGCUUCAGUAGAGAGGCAGGAUCACCUCCCUCCCCCUGGUGGCCAUACUUCUUUUGAUGCAGUUCAGGAUACAGUUGGCUUACUGGGCUACAAUGGCACACUGCUGGCUCAUGUCCAUCUGGUCAUCCCCAAGUUCUUUUCAUUUUGUAUUGUUUAGAAAUACAGUGAUAUAAAUUUGGGUCAUAGAAGGGCUCUGAGUGUUUGGAAGAGUUACCUUUGGACCUGCACAGGGCUCCUAUGGUAAGAAGGACCCUGAAGGUUUGGCUCUGGGCAGCUGGGUUUCUGCUUCAUGCUGUGGUUAAUUACAACAUGUCCUCAUGUGCUCCCGGGGGUGUGCAGAGCCAGGAGCUCAGAUUUCCUCCCCAAACACCUCUUUGUGGUGCUACUGCCAGAACUCCCUGCAGCUCAAUGUUCAUUCUGAGAAAAGGCUCUGCAGCAUGAUGAAGGGCUUUGCGGAAAAUGAAUGUCAUCAUUAGUGACUCCAGGACUGCAUUUUGGCUCAGAAUUGUGCAAUUCUAUUUCAAGGUUAACAGCUAACUUAAUCUGGGUGGAUGUUUGUCCUCAGAACAGCUAGUUUCUCCUCAAAAUAAUCUCUCCAUUCUUUUCCAUCCUGAGAAACACCACUCAGGUCCCCAGGUGUGAGAGCUGACACGGAAAGGUUGUUCAACAAAUUACAUUUGGCUGAUCUGAAAUUCCAAAAUAAGGCAAAUAGUGCAGUAGGUCUGAGCAGAGGUCAGGCAUCAGCUUCCUCUAGUGCGUAUAUAAAGAGCAGCUUGUGUUCCUCACAGCCAGUGAGAAUCCUGCUCUGAGCAUGUCACAGGAGGAAUUCACAAAAUGACAGUGCUUUCCCAGGCCUUUACUCAAAUUUAACCUUUGGAAAUUUUUUUCCCUAUUUUGUUCCUCACGUCACAAUGUGAAAUUAUAAUACAACUUACACCUUAAAUAAAUAUAUGUGUAAAAUCUCAAAAAGCAGUGCAUAUGUGCAAGGUAGAUCUUUUUUGUGUUUUUGUUGUUGUUUUCCCUUGAUUCAUACCUUAAAAGGUUUCCUUUGUGAACAGCUUAGGAGUUUUAAACUGGAAGGCCAGCUUACAACCAAACUGUGAAAUAUAUGCAGCAUAGAUGUAUAUUCACCUUCAUGGCUAUUUCACAAGGUGGAGGCUGUGUCCCUUUCUGACAGCUUGGUAGAAAGCAUAUCCUUCAUGUGGAAGUUUGAUGGUGAUAGAAUUGAUGAAUGUUUCCACUGAUCCUGAAGAUGGGUUGCAGGCUCAGAUGCAAUGGGGUUAUGUUCAGUGCUAAAUUCCCAUUGGGAGGGCUGGGAAGGGUUUCUGCAGUCUCUUUCUCCAUCCCAAUCAGGAUCACCUGUACCUGGUGUGUUCUUGGUUCAUCUGGCUUUCGUCUAAACUGUCUGUUGGGCUGAAAAAAGUUUAUGGGGCAAUUUAUCGCAUGGGUAGUUACCCAUUCUAUUAAAUAGCCUGAGUCAUUGCUGUUGAAGUGACAACCCAUCUUGUUGUGUCCCACAUGAGCUUAAUCCCAUUCCUUUUGGCAGUGAGCUUUUACAGGCAGUCAUCCACCCCUCCACCUCCUCUACUUGAUUCGAUGAUUCUGUAAGACUGGAGCAUUGGAAUGGGCUGCCCAGGGAGGUGGUGGAGUCACUGUCCUUGGAGAUGUUCAAGAAAAGGAUAAGUGUGGUACUGAGGAACAUGGUUAGUGGGUAUGGUGGUGAUGAGUCAGCAGUUGGACUAGAUGAUAUUAGAGGUCCAUUACAACCUUAUUGAUUAUAUGAUUCUAUUCUAUGCUUGGGGCUUUGAACCCCUCUGAAGUUCCUGCAGGUUUCACAUGUUCUUUGUCAGUACUUAGGACUGCAGCCUCCAAACAGCCUAACCAGGGAAACAACACUGCAAAACAAAUCCCAGCUUGUCCACUGCAGGUGCAAGGCUGACACAUCCCCAUCUCUUAAUGCUAUGGACUGAGCCAAAGAAGCUCCAGGGUGCCAAUACCUAAGGAAGGUCUGCAGGUGUUGUACUGAGAUGGAAAUGCCCUGUGCAUCCAAAGGUGAGAGCCACACAUCCCACUGGUCCCCUGAAGGAAGAAGCAGUUACUCCUGAGCCUUGCAUUGUCUCCCAAGUUCUCUCUACAACGCAGAACAUUGACAUCUUUCCAAAACACAGCAGAAAAAAAUGGAUAUUAAAACAGGUAUUUUAAAAGCAAUCUUACUCUUUAUUUUUUGGUGGAGUUCUAGUUACAUGCUACUCUUAGAUGCGAUCCAUUUUCUAAUAGGUCAAAAGUCUCAUGGGAAUCAGGCAAGAAACUGUGACAAGAACUAAAAUUAUCUCUACUGCUCCCUUGCACAGAUGGUGCUUUUCUGAAGCUGAGUGGGGUGAAACUGGUGAACACUGUGGGUGCAAGCUGAGGCUAUUCUGGCAAGAACCCCUGCAGAGUUUUGCUAUAGGCAGCUUCUGAUCACAGGGGUUCACCAAGACGUUCAUCACCAUGCCAAGGGCAGUGUCUGUAGGGGGGAAAUGGAAAGAAGCUUGGAACUCUUAAAUAGUUUCAGCACAAAAAAAGCUUCUACUGACAGCUGCUGAAACACAGUCUUUCAAACACAGCGAUGAACUUGAGUGUCUAGGAUUUUAAGCUAAUUAAAAUAGAACUGGAUGGAAUUAAUAUAAACAUAGCUUCAAACCAGGCCAAGGAAAACAAAACCCCAUGCAGGCUGACCUGAUGAAGAUUGUGGAAUACAGGUGCCAUUCAAUUUUCUGGAAUAGCAUAUUAUUUUUUAUUCUGAUGUUGAUAGGAAAAUAAUUUACAGACUCUCUCAGUAGGUUAUGUUGGAUUUCAUUCCGGUGUCUCCUUUUGCAAUAAUGCUAAUGGCAAAAGAAAUGCACAUUGAUAUUGUUUUAGCUGCAGCAGAAAUGCCAGGGAACUCAGAUCUGUGCUAUCACCUCGUCAGUGGGCAAAUUACUAAAUCGGAAUUUUAUGAAAUUACUCAAUAUUUGUGCAGACAGCUUCCAGGAAAAAGCACUUGUGUCUAUUUAGCUCUAGUGUGUAACAGAUGGGUAGAGACAAGUUAUUUCUUUGUAGCCAGACUCAUACUGACAUUUUAAGACAGCUUUCCUUAGGUGCUCAUUAGUUCUUGUAAGCCAGAUAUUAAAUCUUACCUUAGAGCAAAAUUCAGUCAUAUAAAAGGCCUUCAAGCAAUGUUGUAGUGUGUUACUUGCAAGAAAAUUAAAUGUAACCCAUCCUUUCAAAA